rnacentral:rRNA from 1 species
GAUGAACGCUGGCGGCGUGCCUAAUACAUGCAAGUCGAGCGAACGGACGAGAAGCUUGCUUCUCUGAUGUUAGCGGCGGACGGGUGAGUAACACGUGGAUAACCUACCUAUAAGACUGGGAUAACUUCGGGAAACCGGAGCUAAUACCGGAUAAUAUUUUGAACCGCAUGGUUCAAAAGUGAAAGACGGUCUUGCUGUCACUUAUAGAUGGAUCCGCGCUGCAUUAGCUAGUUGGUGAGGUAACGGCUUACCAAGGCAACGAUGCAUAGCCGACCUGAGAGGGAGCACCGCCACACUGAAACUGAGACACGGUCCAGACUCCUACGGGAGGCAGCAGUAGGGAAUCUUCCGCAAUGGGCGAAAGCCUGACGGAGCAACGCCGAGUGAGUGAUGAAGGUCUUCGGAUCGUAAACCUCUGUUAUUAGGGAAGAACAUAUGUGUAAGUAACUGUGCACAUCUUGACGGUACCUAAUCAGAAAGCCACGGCUAACUACGUG